AGCGGCAUGGCCUAGUGGAAAGAACUCUGGCCUGGGAAGUCAGAGGACCUGGGUUCUAAUCCCAGUUCUUCCA
rnacentral:tRNA from 1 species